rnacentral:pre_miRNA from 1 species
GCACGAAUCACUGGGGAUCUCGUUAAAAUGCAGAUUCUGACUCAGUGGGUCUGGAGCGGGGCCUGAGCUUCUGUAUUUCUAACGAGCUCCCAGGUGAUGCCGAG